UGGGGAAUCUUGCGCAAUGGGCGGAAGCCUGACGCAGCAACGCCGCGUGAGGGAUGACGGCCUUCGGGUUGUAAACCUCUUUCGCGAUCGACGAAGGUCAUGCUUGUGGCAUGGCUGACGGUAGGUCGAGAAGAAGCACCGGCCAACUACGUGCCAGCAGCCGCGGUAAUACGUAGGGUGCGAGCGUUGUCCGGAAUUAUUGGGCGUAAAGAGCUCGUAGGCGGUGUGUCGCGUCGGCCGUGAAAACCUGGGGCUUAACUCUGGGCGUGCGGUCGAUACGGGCAUCACUAGAGUUCGGCAGGGGAGACUGGAAUUCCUGGUGUAGCGGUGAAAUGCGCAGAUAUCAGGAGGAACGCCGGUGGCGAAGGCGGGUCUCUGGGCCGAUACUGACGCUGAGGAGCGAAAGCAUGGGUAGCGAACAGG
rnacentral:rRNA from 1 species